rnacentral:rRNA from 1 species
UAAUACAGAGGGUGCGAGCGUUAAUCGGAUUUACUGGGCGUAAAGCGUGCGUAGGCGGCUUUUUAAGUCGGAUGUGAAAUCCCUGAGCUUAACUUAGGAAUUGCAUUCGAUACUGGGAAGCUAGAGUAUGGGAGAGGAUGGUAGAAUUCCAGGUGUAGCGGUGAAAUGCGUAGAGAUCUGGAGGAAUACCGAUGGCGAAGGCAGCCAUCUGUCCUAAUACUGACGCUGAGGUACGAAAGCAUGGGGAGCAAACAGGAUUAGAUACCCUGGUAGUCCAUGCCGUAAACUAUGUCUACUAGCCGUUGGGGCCUUUGAGGCUUUAGUGGCGCAGCUAACGCGAUAAGUAGACCGCCUGGGGAGUACGGUCGCAAGACUAAA